GACGAACGCUGGCGGCGUGCCUAAUACAUGCAAGUCGAGCGGACGGAUGGGAGCUUGCUCCCAGACCGUCAGCGGCGGACGGGUGAGUAACACGUGGGCAACCUGCCUGUAAGACUGGGAUAACUCCGGGAAACCGGGGCUAAUACCGGAUAACUCUUUCGCUCACAUGAGGGAAAGCUGAAAGAUGGCAUCUCGCUAUCACUUACAGAUGGGCCCGCGGCGCAUUAGCUAGUUGGUGAGGUAACGGCUCACCAAGGCGGCGAUGCGUAGCCGACCUGAGAGGGUGAUCGGCCACACUGUGACUGAGACACGUCCCAGACUCCUACGGGAGGCAGCAGUAGGGAAUCCUCCGCAAUGGACGAAAGUCUGACGGAGCAACGCCGCGUGAGUGAUGAAGGUUUUCGGAUCGGAAAGCUCUGUUGUCAGGGAAGAACAAGUACCGGAGUAACUGCCGGUACCUUGACGGUACCGGACCAGAAAGCCACGGCUAACUACGUG
rnacentral:rRNA from 1 species